rnacentral:rRNA from 1 species
UACAGAGACUGCAAGCGUUAUUCGGAUUCACUGGGCGUAAAGGGUGCGCAGGCGGCCAAGUGUGUCAGGUGUGAAAUCCCGAGGCUUAACCUCGGAACUGCGCCUGAAACUACUUGGCUAGAGUACUGUAGAGGGUAACGGAAUUCACGGUGUAGCAGUGAAAUGCGUAGAUAUCGUGAGGAACACCAGAGGCGAAGGCGGUUACCUGGACAGUUACUGACGCUCAGGCACGAAAGCGUGGGGAGCAAAAGGG